rnacentral:lncRNA from 1 species
GGAGGGAGUUUUGACAGACCAUGAAGCUUCGACUGAUACUACCCUGGCUGGGAGAAACAGGAGAGUCUAUUACUCCUAUCCAUGUGUCUUCCACAGACACCACAGGGAGUGCGUGUUACCCCUGGGCAGUGAUUAAAAUCUUCACUCUCACAUAGAUCUCUUCUGAUAGCACUCAACCAGAUGGGAGAGGAACACUCUUGCUGUUGGAUGUGCAUAGGUUCAUACUUUUCCUAUGGUGUCUGGAUGAAGUAGAGUGGUUACUGUCUAAAAUUCUUCUGUCUGGUCCUUGCCAUUUGACUGAGGAGAAGGCUUUCUUUGGGUUUAGAAAAAAAUCUGAUUUUCUGGCUUAUUCAACUCCGAUUCUGAAAUAUACGAGGCAAAAGAAAAACCUAAAAACUCACCAUCAUGUCUUUCCCUUUACUGGGACUUAAUGAAAAGGUGAGUUGCUUCCUUAAUGGUCAGGGCAUGAAAAAGAAAUGUAUGGUUUAAUGAAGAUUAUAGGAACCACAGAUCUGCUUAUUGCUCAAUCUUCAGGUUUACUUUCCAGAUGAUAGACUCAACUAAUUCCUCAAUUUGGCCACAGUGGUCUUUUCCAGCAGAUUUGUGGUCAAAGCACUACAUAUUUUUUUCUAGAAUCUGUAAGCUACCCUGUGAAUAGUCCUGUUUGCAUGGGAUGAGCAAUGCACAAGUAUCGGGGGGUGGUGCCAACUGCUCUAAAGACCCUCGAAACCCUUGUUUUGUCCCUAUAUCUGAUAAUUUUUUUGAACUUUCCUAUUCUCAUAUUUACACACCCAGAAGGAUUUCCCACAUCUCUUUCCCCUUUAAUCAUUCAUUUUUAUAUUCAACAAAGCUGAAUAGAAUAUUUACUACACGGGAGGCAUAUAACAACCAGAAAAACACCAGUAAACAAGACACAGAAAGUUCACAUUCUGAGUCUAGUGUAAUUGUUUCAGAGAGCUUUUAGAAUGCAGUGCUGCCCUUUCUUUCCUAUAGGAGGUAUUGAGAACAAGCAGGUGAAGUUUUUUUUUUUUUUUUUUUUUUGAGACAGAGUCUCACUGUGUCGCCCAGGUUGGAGUGCAAUGGCGUGAUCUCGGCUUCACUGUAAUCUCCACCACUCGGGUUCAAGUGAUUCUCCUGCCUCAGCAUCCUGAGUAGCUGGGAUUACAGGCAUGCUCCACCAUGCCUGGCUAAUUUUUGUGUUUUUUUGUAGAGACGAGGUUUCAUCAUGUUGGCCAGGCUGGUCUUGAACUCCUGACUUCAAGUGAUACGCCCGCCUAGGCUUCCCAAAGUGCUGGGAUUACAGGCAUGAGCCACCACGCCCGGCCUGAACAAUUUUUUUUCUUAACGCUCAUUUGAUGAAAUAUUGCAAUAAUACCAUCACAUAUACUUGGUCUCAUUUGUGCCUUGAAUCUCUUCCUUUUCACCUUUUCACCUUUUCACCUUAGAAAUCAAAGCACACAUUAAAACUAACAGAUAGGAGUACAAAAAAAAGAAAAAAAAAA